AGGACGAACGCUGGCGGCGCGUCUAACACAUGCAAGUCGAGGGACGAAACCACCUUCGGGUGGUGGAAACCGGCGAACGGGUGAGUAACACGUGAGGAACCCACCCCGUGCUCUGGGAUAACCCGGGGAAACUCGGGCUAAUACCGGAUACUCCCACUGGAUCGCAUGGUCCGGUGGGGAAAGUUCCGGCGGCACGGGACGGUCUCGCGGCCUAUCAGCUAGUUGGUGAGGUAACGGCUCACCAAGGCGACGACGGGUAGCUGGAGUGAGAGCUCGAUCAGCCACACUGGGACUGAGACACGGCCCAGACUCCUACGGGAGGCAGCAGUGGAGAAUCUUGCGCAAUGGGCGAAAGCCUGACGCAGCGACGCCGCGUGCGGGAUGAAGGCCUUCGGGUGUAAACCGCUUUACGAGGAGGGACGAAGCGAAAGUGACGUACCUCCAGAAGAACGCCCCGACCAACUACGUCGACCGAGCACGCCGC
rnacentral:rRNA from 1 species